AAGCUCUCUUUCAUUCCCAGGAAGGCACACAGCCACGCCCCCACCCCAUUCUCUCAGUUUUUAGGUAAUUCUUCCAGUGUUGUUUCAUUUCUUGAGUGCUUAGGUCACGUUUCCCCGGGUGGACUCUUCAGUUUGUGGAGGAGGACUCAGGCUACUGUACCUAGUAAGUGGCUGCUGAGGGUGAGAGCCACCAGCGAGAAAGGGAAGUAACGGUGACUGAUACCCUCUCUGCUACUCAUGGGAAAUGCCCUGAGAGGUAUCUCCUCCACAUUCCAAGGGUAAGCAACUUGCAAACAGCUGGUGUUUUAACUCCAUGGCCAGUGCUCUUCCCCUUAGAGCUCACUACCCUCAUUUCUCCACUCCAGCUGUGGCUCCAGCUGUGGCUCCAGCUGCACUCACCUUUCUCUUCCGGCCUUUCUUCUUCAGGAUGUGGAUCUCAGCAUUUGGGGAUGCUGCCUGCUCCUGAACUAAAGGCAAGAAUUGUGACCCGGAAUCAUGGCAGAGAACUUCUCUCACACCUGUAUCCGCCGGUAGUCUCGGUUGUUACUGCAUGGUACUCAGUCACGGCCCGGUCAGUCAGCCCUGACCGUACUAAGUGCCUGAGCACAUAGCACCAGAGCUGGCUUUCAGAUGGUCCUCACCACCACCCACUGCCUUCCCCAGGGUUGCAGUAUGGUGGGAGUACACGAAUGACAUGAUGAAAGCUGCUCUGAACACCUCCCACCUUUCCAGGAUCUGUCAUCGGGGCCCUCCUGGCCCCCACAGCCAAACUUACUCAGUUGUAAGGGCAUCACCACAGCCUUUUUGAGGGGCUUUGCUACAGUGACUGUGCGGCGAGCAAGCGGUCGGAGCAUUGUGGGAGACGAGUUCUCUUUUUCCUUUGGGUCCACAGCCUCCUGGGCCAGAACCUUGGCUUCCAGUUCUUUUUGCUUCAUCUUAAGCCUCUGUUGGAAAGGAUCAGAGAGACAUGUGACCCAGAACAAACUUUCGGGCAGCUUGAAGGAGGUGGGUUAGGAAAGUGAGUGCAGGGUUCUGAGCCCCUUGCCGGCAGGGUGAGGACAAAGGAGAGACGCUACCAGGAGACAACUGGAGCCCAGUAUGAUUAAGGGCUUUCGGAUGGUCAGGGAUGCUCCAAAGUGGAACAGGACCCUUUGUGAAACACUGAAGGGAAAGGACUAUUCAGGCAAAAAGUCCUAACUUAAUUUGAACUGGGUUUUGGGAAAUGACAAGACCUAACAUUAGCUCCUUUCGCGGGGAUGUCCACCCCUCACCUCCUCAGAGCUGACCUCAGUUGUUUUUCAAAGUCCCACCACAUUAAGGACAUUCAAGCAGAAGCCGGGGACAAGGGGUUCCAGUGUUAGGCUAAAAACUAAAUGCUGGUCCAGGCUUCUGCUGCCUUUCCCUGCCUGAAGAUGCUCAGAUGGCUUCUUAGGCCCGUAGGAAUCCCAGCCCCCAUAUCCCUCACACUUACCUCAAUCUCCAAAUCCUUCUCCUCCAUUGUCUUCAUGAGCACCAUCCGCUCUCGCCUUGGGGUGUUCAGCCCGUGGGUCCCCUGGCUCCCCUGGGAGCCCAGCAGACGGUCCAAACUUAGGAGGCGCUCCAGCACAGCGGGGUCCAUGCUACUUAGCUUCUGUAGGGGGCUGAGCAGACAAAGGUCACUCUGCACCUGGCCCAUCUCUCAUCACCCUCUCUGCAGUAGCAGGAUUCCCCUCAUGAUGCCUUCUACUGCUGUAUUCCAGGGGUCCACACUCUGGUGUAGACUUGCUGGGCAACCCCGAGCAAGUCAACCAGACUGUCUAGGUGCACGGCUUCAGCAGGUGAAUGCGGCUCCAUCACUACUUGCCAUGUCACCUCUCAGAGUGCCAGGAGAUCUGACAGGAAUAAGCGCUUUGUGCACACCCGAGUUCCAAGCCUUCAGGCUCCAAGACACUGCCCCACCCUGGCCUGCAGGCACUCCCUGUCAUCACAGAAGGCAGAGACUGGGAGGUGACAGCAAGGAUUGUGCAUCGGUUUCUUUGAAAGAGCCAGAGCUGUUGGGGAAAGAUUCACAGUGGAGGUCAUCUUCAGCAGGGCUUUGAAAGCCACUGGGGACCAAAUGCCAAGCCUUCUUCCCAUGGACAGUAGGAAAGGCCUCUUGGAGCGGAGUCCUGACUUAAUCUGAGCAUGACAAUGCCUAACAUUUGUUCUUUCUGUCUAGAAUUGUUUCUCUCCCAGUUAUCACUAAGUCAAUUGGACACCACCUUUCCCAUGAAACCCAACUUGACUAUGUAUCUUCCUUCCUGUACCGUGAAGCUCCUCAAGGACAGAGGCUGCCCUGUUCCUUGGGCCCAAGGGUCUAAGAAGAGCAGGAUCAGAAAAUCUGGGUGAACACCAGAGGUCCUUCCUUCCUGGCUCUCACAGCAGCAGCAAGUCCUUCCUGAUCGCAUCCUGUCCCACCUACUCUGCAUCAUCUGAUGUUCCCCUCUUCUCUCGUUUCCUGAAACCUGAGCCCCUGAGGUCAGGGUCUGACCAGGGCUGAUGGGCCCCGUCUCUGGGCUUACCCGGGGUACCUGUCUGGCAGAGACUUUGCCUGUUCACAUGUAACACACAUAUCUGCAAGGAUGCAUGUUUCUCUGAAUUUAUGCACAUAGAACACGGGACUGCUGACAGGUAGCUUGAGAGGACAAGACUGAGACGGGGUUCUAAGCAAACACCCUUUCCCGUAGGCCAUCCAGCCUCAACUGUAGCAGCUCCGCCACCCCACCCCUGCCAUUCUAGGGAGGCAACUGCAGUCUUACUUUUGCUGGGUUUCGACCCAAGCCCAAAUAAAGUCUCUCUAAACUGU